UGAAGAGAAUUUUUCCCAUCAUUCCAGUCCUGCAAGCUACAAACUGCAGGACAUCACAGAUGUUCACAUUAUGGCUCGAAUGCAGGAAGCGAGUUUAAGACAAGACUAUGUUUCCAUGCCACCUGCAUCCAGUGGAAACCAGAAUACUUCCUGCUUCAACACUACAACAGAGAACAUUGAAGACCAUGGAAACAAAGUCAGAGCUCGCUGGCCGUCUGCUCUGCCAUCAGUGGGUUUCUCUCGCUGUCAGUCACCAGCAACCAAGCCGGAGUGUCAAAGUCCCAAACAGAGUCGUCUUCAUCAACAAGUUACUCAGUUCAAGCUGCUUAAACGAGCUCAAAAUCAAGGUAGAACCACAGGAAUGAAGCUGGCCCAUGAAAUAAAAUUUAAUCCAGAUUACAACCAUAAUACAGGUUUUAAUGAUGAACAUAAAAUCUGUUUUUUUGUCUUAAAAGGAAGACAUAUUAUUAUUUAAUUUUAUUUCUUUAAAUGUAUUAUUUUAAUUGGAAAGCUCUAAAUCUGUUACAGCAGCAUCACCAGGUUUAACAAGGUCACCUCUGCGGACGAGCCUCCGCUCCCUUCAGGCUGUGAGGAACAGCAGAAGUCUGGAGACUGAUGAUUAUCAAACAGCCGGUCAGAGGUCUUACCCUCUACCAGGUCUGUUCCUACAUCAUCACAGAGAAAAACAGCUUUCAUUUAUGAAUCAGACAUUUAAAAAAAUUUCUCUUCCCCAGAUGUUUCAUCGCCCACCAGGACAGCUUGUGGUUUCCGAUCCCUUUCUCCAGCAUCAGUCAACUUCCACAACCUGAAGCAGUCCUCCAGGCCCGCAUCAGUGCGCGUGGCAGCGGUGAAGGGGGUGCAGAGGUCCCAGUCUCUGAGCCCCUGCAGGAUUCCUCACCCCGCAAAGGGUUAUUUGCCCGUUCAUGGACGAGUCUUUGCCUCUCCAGAGAGACCAAGCACUGCAGCAUGGAGCACGCGAGCACCCCCCAUUCAGCGGUGAAAGACUUUACAAACGAUAAACUUUAUUGGAAAACUCACAGAAGCACAAAAACUGUAUGGAUUACUUUGCUGAGACAUAUUUAUCCAAGUCCUUCGUCUAUUAUUUCAGCUAAAUUAGUUGGAUGGUGGAUGGCCUCUGUUGAGUUGUCCAGCCUCCUGAGAACUAAAGGAAAUUUGUUAAACUUGAGUGAUUCCAUGCCUUCAUUUUAAGAGUGAAACAAUAACUUGCAAUUUUGAAACUUAAAAAAUGAAAAUAUUUAAUUUUAUAGCAUGAUCACUAUUGUGAAAAACAGAACAAAUUGAAUGCAAAAAAAAUAAUCCCUUAAAAUAAUAA